CAGACUCACUCUGCCUUUUUACCCUUUUCUUCAAAUCCCUCCUUAACUUUUGCCUGGAAACACGGCAAUUUUUCACACAUGACAUGGCUUCAAUCUCUCAACAAACGCUCCCAACUCACUCAAUUUCCGCUCCAUCCACACAAUUUACACAUCAAAACAUAGCGAUUUUCCUCACUGUCAUUAGUUCGUUUUCGUUAGUAGAUAGUUUUCCAGUUACACAAGGUUUUGUAACAGCAAGAAACGGCGGUUUUAACUUCUCAUUGUACACUAGAACUUUAAGCUUUGUUCAUAGAGCUGGCGGUAGCCCACGUUUAGAGUAGAGAAGGCCUUAGCGGUCCUGGUUCAAAACCUCCCACCAGCAGUAUGUUUUGAGCACACACCUCAGCUUUUUUGCCUCUUUUCAGCAGACCAUUUGCAGCUACACCAGUCACUACUUUACAUCCUUUCUUUUUUGGUGGAUAUACCAGUGCUUACAGAGUCCACAUUAUUAUUAACAGCUACAUCCACCCCGGGAAAUGUGUGGUGAGGGAGAACAUCAGGACCAAGCUGGGUUUCCUUGGUCCAGAGGUUUGAAGAAAGUUCUUCCCUUUCUUUCAUCACAGCUGUCCUGUGCCAGAUGUUCUGUUGACCCACUGAGAGAGGCAUAAUUGGAGAAACAUCAGGAAGACUGAAGCUGAUCGCAGGAAUCAAGGAGGACCUCGAGAUCUUCACCACCAGCUCCCUCACAAGGAAAUCUUCCGAAGUCCACUGUAGGCACGGCCCAGAAGAUGGAUAAACCCAGCAUUUCAUGAACACACUGGAACUAAUCUAUCUUCAUAACAGAGUGUUUUUCUAAACAUGGAGAAAAAAGAUGGAAGAAACCGAUCUGAAUUUCCCAUCUCCUGCCUCCGAUGAUCACUGUGACCUCAGAGGGCAACUGGUGUGCAAAGCUGGAACUGGAGUGAGGGAGAGAGGAGUCAUCAUCCAGCUUGAAAGAAAACAUCCGGCUGAUCAGCAGGAGGAGAAAAGUCUGAGGGAGCAGCAGAGGAACAUUUUCAGCCGUUUGCACUCAGCUCAGCUACUACAGAGAAAAUGAUGAGCUCAACACAGAAGGACCAACAUGGACCGAAAAGUCAGCGCUCUCAGGAGGCCGACAAACCUCACAGAAGAAAGAGAGAGAAAAACUACAGCUGUGACUUGUGUGGAAAGUCUUUUCCCUGGGAUAGUUGCCUAAGAAAACACCAACUCUUCCACAGUGGAGUUAAAGCGUACAGCUGUGAUCAGUGUGACAGAGCUUUUGAUCGCAGUUGCAGCUUACAGAGGCAUCUGGUUACCCACUCUGGAACUAAGACAUAUAGCUGUGACAUUUGUGGAAAAACUUUCAGUCGGCGAGACAGCCGAAACAGACACCUACGCAUUCACACCAGACAUGUUGUGUACUGGUGUGAUCAGCGUGGCCAACGGUUUAUAACAGAUGCACAGUUACAAAGCCACAUGUUUACCCACACUGAGGAGAAACCUUAUAAAUGUGACCUGUGUGAGAAGACUUUUGAACUGAAAAAGUAAUUGGAGUAAAAAAAGCAGAGCGACGCAGAUGGAUCCAGUUCUCAACCCUGUCAUCGCUGUGGUGGUGGGAAAGACUUUUGUUGUGACCUUUGUGGAAAAUGUUUCGGUCAUGCAAAGAGCCUAAAAAUACAUCAACGUAGACACACUGGAGAGAAACUGAAAUACUGCAAAGAAUGUGGGAGAAGCUUCACCAGAUCACAUGAGUUAAAACACCAUGAAGUCAUUCACAGUGGGGUUAAAAAGCACCUCUGUGAUCAGUGUGGGUCAUCGUUCACCACUGCAGGUGAGCUUAAAACACACAAACGAGUCCACACAGGAGAGAAACCAUACAAGUGACAAAAGCUUCUCACAGUCAAGUAGUCGUAACCAUCAUGAACAUACCCACGUGGAAGGAAACUACAGCUGUGACCGGUGUGACAAGACUUUCAGGAAUCUCAGUUCAUACUCUGAACACAAACGAUCCCACGCUGCAGAUAAACUGUUUCACUGCUACAAAUGUGCAAAAACCUUCACUUCACUAUCUGCUCUGUGCAAACAUCCGCGUGAUCACGCGGGGCGGAAAUCAUUCCCAUCUCCGGAUCACGGUGAAUCUGGUGUCAGGGUCAGAAUUAAAACUGUUGAGAUCAGGCUCCACAGAGUUCAGCUGGAAUCUCAUGUAAAGAACUGAUGAGGCUGCUGUAAAUAUAAAUGUUCCUGCAGUUACAUCUUAAGCUUUCUAAACUCUUCUACUUUAGUGUUCUUAUCGAGUGGUUAGCUUUGUUUUGUUGGAAGAAGAAAUCUGUUGUUAUGUAAUCAAGUUGUUAUUGAAUGUAUUUUGAUCCAUGUGUUCUGUAGGUGUUCUUUGUUCAGGCUGUCUGUGUUAUGAAACGUUGCAACGGUUAAAUAAAAAAUCCAAAUGUUCAAUAAAGAAAUGGUUUAAUGACA